UGAAAUUUCAACCUGCCCAACACGAUUACUGGUCCACCUAGAAAUGCCGUGGAGCGAUUUAAGAGCCUCGGAAAUUUCCUUUAAGACUAGUCUCACUCUGUUGCCCAGGCUGGAGUGCAGUGGCGCGAUCUCAGCUUACUUCAGCCUCCGCCUCCCGGUUUCAAGUGAAUUCUCCAGCCUCAACUUCACAAGUAGCUGGGAUUACAGCCACUUUUUAUCUUCUCUCCUGCAAUCCAACCCACAUAAUUUCCAUGAAGAAAGCGGAGUGGUGUCAUUUUACAACAAGAAAACUGAGUUAAGAAUAAGUCCAAUCAAUUGCUAGGUGUUGAGACUGAAAUGGAAGUCUCUUAGUACUCCACCCAAGGAUUUUCAUAUUAAACAAUUAUCUUGUCAUCAUUUUAUUUCUGAGUUAUUCUCUUCAGUUUUUGUUCUCUUCAAUUUUCAGAAAAAUUGAAAAUGCUAAUAACAUGUGUUCUGGUCCCUUGAAUCAGAAAUUUCAAGUACACGCAGAAUGAAUUUUCACUGACCCUCCUCCCCUGUGUGCUCAGAUUUCUCUUAUUCUUCAUCCCAUCUGUAUUUCUGGGUUUUUUUGCAACAGUAUUUCUCAGGACCUACCAUUUGGGUGAGAAAGGAAAUGUAUCUGCCCUCUGUCUUUAUGUUCAUUUAAUCUAGUGGUUCUCACUCCUUCAUCACCAUGAAGAGUCUUUUGGUCUUGUAUCUAAUUUCCAUCUAAUCUCAUUCUAUUAGAAAUGUUAGUUCUAUCGAGUGAUUAACUCUUCCAAUAAUCAGCGGAAAGAAUUAUGAGGGUUCAGUCCUCCUGGGUCUAAAGUGCUAGAUAGAAUCCUAUUUGAAAUCUGUGUCCUGAGGUUGGUCAGGUUCCCUGGUCUAUGCUGCCCAAGAACUCACAAAAUGAGAAACAGCGCUUACUGGCCGCCACUAGUUGUGGUGAAUCAGCCCAACUGUCCUCAAGUGUGUACCACCCUGCUCUAGUCAGGUGAACAGUAGCUAUGAAUACACGAGUUGAUCUCUGGGGUGCUGAAUAGUAUACAUAGAGCCCCCCUCAGGAUUUUGUUUUGAUUAUUUAUGGUUAUAUAACGAAGUAAUCUAAAACUUAAGUGGCUAAAAAAACAAUAAUUUUAUUAUAUCACAGAUUUUGUGGGUCAGGGAAUUCUGGCAGGGCCCAGCCAGGUGAUUGUUCUGUUCCAAGUGGUAUUCUGCUAAGAGUCUGCAGGCUCCACUCAUCCCUCUGCACCUUGACAGAUGUAUGGAAGGCUGAACUCUUCUGGGACUUGGGACUGUUAACUGACUUCUCCAGCAAAACAGUCUCAGGGUAUUCAGACUUACAUGGCAGGGCUUCCAGAGAAAGUGUUCUGAAGGACAGAAAGUAGAAGCUUCCAGUGCCCAGAAAUUGCC
rnacentral:lncRNA from 1 species